AUUGAACGCUGGCGGCAGGCUUAACACAUGCAAGUCGAGCGGGGGGAGGUAGCUUGCUACUGGACCUAGCGGCGGACGGGUGAGUAAUGCUUAGGAAUCUGCCUAUUAGUGGGGGACAACAUUCCGAAAGGAAUGCUAAUACCGCAUACGCCCUACGGGGGAAAGCAGGGGAUCUUCGGACCUUGCGCUAAUAGAUGAGCCUAAGUCGGAUUAGCUAGUUGGUGGGGUAAAGGCCUACCAAGGCGACGAUCUGUAGCGGGUGUGAGAGGAUGGUCCGCCACACUGGGACUGAGACACGGCCCAGACUCCUACGGGAGGCAGCAGUGGGGAAUAUUGGACAAUGGGCGGAAGCCUGAUCCAGCCAUGCCGCGUGUGUGAAGAAGGCCUUUUGGUUGUAAAGCACUUUAAGCGAGGAGGAGGCUCUUAAGGUUAAUACCCUUGAUGAGUGGACGUUACUCGCAGAAUAAGCACCGGCUAACUCUGUGCCAGCAGCCGCCGUAA
rnacentral:rRNA from 1 species